rnacentral:rRNA from 1 species
UAAGCCCUAGGGGCGUGCCUAAUACAUGCAAGUCGAGCGGACCGAAACGGAAGCUUGCUUCUGUUCGGUUAGCGGCGGACGGGUGAGUAACACGUGGGUAACCUGCCCGUAAGACCGGGAUAACUCCGGGAAACCGGGGCUAAUACCGGAUAACACCGAAGACCGCAUGGUCUUUGGUUGAAAGGUGGCUUUUGCUACCACUUACGGAUGGGCCCGCGGCGCAUUAGCUAGUUGGUGAGGUAACGGCUCACCAAGGCGACGAUGCGUAGCCGGCCUGAGAGGGUGACCGGCCACACUGGGACUGAGACACGGCCCAGACUCCUACGGGAGGCAGCAGUAGGGAAUCUUCCGCAAUGGACGAAAGUCUGACGGAGCGACGCCGCGUGAGCGAAGAAGGUCUUCGGAUCGUAAAGCUCUGUUGUUAGGGAAGAAGAAGUACCGUUCGAAUAGGGCGGUACGGUGACGGUACCUAACGAGAAAGCCCCGGCUAACUACGUGCCAGCAGCCGCGGUAAUACGUAGGGGGCGAGCGUUGUCCGGAAUUAUUGGGCGUAAAGCGCGCGCAGGCGGUCCCUUAAGUCUGAUGUGAAAGCCCACGGCUCAACCGUGGAGGGUCAUUGGAAAACUGGGGGACUUGAGUGCAGAAGAGGAGAGCGGAAUUCCCACGUGUAGCGGGUGAAAUGCGUAGAGAUGUGGAGGAACACCAGUGGC